GGGUAACCUGCCUGUAAGACUGGGAUAACUCCGGGAAACCGGAGCUAAUACCGGAUAGUUCCUUGAACCGCAUGGUUCAAGGAUGAAAGACGGUUUCGGCUGUCACUUACAGAUGGACCCGCGGCGCAUUAGCUAGUUGGUGGGGUAAUGGCUCACCAAGGCGACGAUGCGUAGCCGACCUGAGAGGGUGAUCGGCCACACUGGGACUGAGACACGGCCCAGACUCCUACGGGAGGCAGCAGUAGGGAAUCUUCCGCAAUGGACGAAAGUCUGACGGAGCAACGCCGCGUGAGUGAUGAAGGUUUUCGGAUCGUAAAGCUCUGUUGUUAGGGAAGAACAAGUGCGAGAGUAACUGCUCGCACCUUGACGGUACCUAACCAGAAAGCCACGGCUAACUACGUGCCAGCAGCCGCGGUAAUACGUAGGUGGCAAGCGUUGUCCGGAAUUAUUGGGCGUAAAGGGCUCGCAGGCGGUUUCUUAAGUCUGAUGUGAAAGCCCCCGGCUCAACCGGGGAGGGUCAUUGGAAACUGGGAAACUUGAGUGCAGAAGAGGAGAGUGGAAUUCCACGUGUAGCGGUGAAAUGCGUAGAGAUGUGGAGGAACACCAGUGGCGAAGGCGACUCUCUGGUCUGUAACUGACGCUGAGGAGCGAAAGCGUGGGGAGCGAACAGGAUUAGAUACCCUGGUAGUCCACGCCGUAAACGAUGAGUGCUAAGUGUUAGGGGGUUUCCGCCCCUUAGUGCUGCAGCUAACGCAUUAAGCACUCCGCCUGGGGAGUACGGUCGCAAGACUGAAACUCAAAGGAAUUGACGGGGGCCCGCACAAGCGGUGGAGCAUGUGGUUUAAUUCGAAGCAACGCGAAGAACCUUACCAGGUCUUGACAUCCUCUGACAACCCUAGAGAUAGGGCUUUCCCUUCGGGGACAGAGUGACAGGUGGUGCAUGGUUGUCGUCAGCUCGUGUCGUGAGAUGUUGGGUUAAGUCCCGCAACGAGCGCAACCCUUGAUCUUAGUUGCCAGCAUUUAGUUGGGCACUCUAAGGUGACUGCCGGUGACAAACCGGAGGAAGGUGGGGAUGACGUCAAAUCAUCAUGCCCCUUAUGACCUGGGCUACACACGUGCUACAAUGGACAGAACAAAGGGCUGCGAGACCGCAAGGUUUAGCCAAUCCCAUAAAUCUGUUCUCAGUUCGGAUCGCAGUCUGCAACUCGACUGCGUGAAGCUGGAAUCGCUAGUAAUCGCGGAUC
rnacentral:rRNA from 1 species